GAUUUUUAUGUUCCGUAAACAUGUUGUUUACGUUUUUAUGUACUUAAUUCUAGCAAUCGGGGAUUAUUUUCGUUCUUGUCAGGCCCGUUCACAGUUCCCCGUUCGUUUCCCCGUUAAGAACCGUUCGUUACCCCGAUAGCUUCAUCGGGGUAUAAAAAGCUUGCACCUGUUUGUCAGGGGCUCUUCCUCCUUAGUCAGACCUACAGAUAUGUUGCCAGAUUUUCGGUCAGUUGAUACUGUCGAUUAUUCAAUAUUCGCUGAGUUAGCAUAUUUUAUCAUGUAUUUCAUGAGAUUCUAAGCAGUUUUACUGCAGUUUAGAACUUUUUGGACGUUUUCUGUUCACUAUAAGUCUAGUAUUCUAGUACUUAGAUCAGAAUCAAAAAUGGAGUUAAUAUAAUUGUACAUGUACAUGUAAAUAGCUGGUCUAUUUAUUCAGGCUAGCUUUCAUUUGCUAACCUGUUUCUUUGAGGUAAACGGAUUAAAGUUACAUGCCUUCCCCAUUCCCCUUUUUCCCAUUUUGUUAAGUAUCCUGUUGCUGAGAUUUUCCAGCAUUCAGAGAGAAUAUUUGUAAAUUCUGUAUAUUUGAUAGGCUAAGAAUUGUAAGAAGCUAGAAUAAUUACUGUUUAACUACUCUCAAUCUCAGUGAUUGAAGUUUGUCUCCCUGUGCUUACUCCAGGAGACUGAA
rnacentral:lncRNA from 1 species